UACGUAGGGUGCAAGCGUUGUCCGGAAUUAUUGGGCGUAAAGAGCGUGUAGGCGGCCAUACAGGUCAGCUGUGAAAACUCGAGGCUCAACCUCGAGACGUCGGUUGAAACCGUAUGGCUAGAGUCCGGAAGAGGAGAGUGGAAUUCCCGGUGUAGCGGUGAAAUGCGCAGAUAUCGGGAAGAACACCCAUGGCGAAGGCAGCUCUCUGGGACGGUACUGACGCUGAGACGCGAAAGCGUGGGGAGCGAACAGG
rnacentral:rRNA from 1 species